rnacentral:rRNA from 1 species
GCUAAACGCGAAGAACCUUACCGGGCUUGACAUCUUUCUGACCGCCUGGGAAACCAGGUCUUCUUCCUUCGGGAAGACGGAAAGACAGGUGGUGCAUGGUUGUCGUCAGCUCGUGUCGUGAGAUGUUGGGUUAAGUCCCACAACGAGCGCAACCCUUGUCCUUAUUUGCCAGCCUGUUUACAGGCGUACUUUAAGGAGACUGCCGUAGAUAAUACGGAGGAAGGUGGGGAUGACGUCAAAUCCUCAUGCCCCUUACGUCCCGGGCUACACACGUGCUACAAUGGUCUGUACAGAGGGUAGCCAAGAAGCAAUUCGGAGCCAAUCCCAAAAAGCAGGCCCCAGUUCGGAUUGGAGGCUGCAACUCGCCUCCAUGAAGUUGGAAUCGCUAGUAAUGGCGCAUCAUCCACGGCGCCGUGAAUACGUUCCCGGGUCUUGUACACACCG